GGGGUUGUGGCUCAAGCUAGAGUGCGUGCCUAGCAUGUGCGAGGCCCUGGGUUCGAUCCUCAGCACCACA
rnacentral:tRNA from 1 species